UCUCUGUGAUGAAGAUAAACUAGCUCACUUUGACCCGAUGUGAAAAGUUACGAACAUCUGAGAGAU